CAAGUCGAACGAUGAAGCCUAGCUUGCUGGGUGGAUUAGUGGCGAACGGGUGAGUAACACGUGAGUAACCUGCCCUUGACUCUGGGAUAAGCGCUGGAAACGGCGUCUAAUACCGGAUAUGACCUGCCCCGGCAUCGGGUGUGGGUGGAAAGUUUUUCGGUCAAGGAUGGACUCGCGGCCUAUCAGCUUGUUGGUGAGGUAAUGGCUCACCAAGGCGACGACGGGUAGCCGGCCUGAGAGGGUGACCGGCCACACUGGGACUGAGACACGGCCCAGACUCCUACGGGAGGCAGCAGUGGGGAAUAUUGCACAAUGGGCGMAAGCCUGAUGCAGCAACGCCGCGUGGGGGAUGACGGCCUUCGGGUUGUAAACCUCUUUUAGUAGGGAAGAAGGGCUUCGGCUUGACGGUACCUGCAGAAAAAGCACCGGCUAACUACGUGCCAGCAGCCGCGGUAAUACGUAGGGUGCAAGCGUUGUCCGGAAUUAUUGGGCGUAAAGAGCUCGUAGGCGGUUUGUCGCGUCUGCUGUGAAAACCCGAGGCUCAACCUCGGGCCUGCAGUGGGUACGGGCAGACUAGAGUGCGGUAGGGGAGAAUGGAAUUCCUGGUGUAGCGGUGGAAUGCGCAGAUAUCAGGAGGAACACCGAUGGCGAAGGCAGUUCUCUGGGCCGUUACUGACGCUGAGGAGCGAAAGCGUGGGGAGCGAACAGGAUUAGAUACCCUGGUAGUCCACGCCGUAAACGUUGGGAACUAGAUGUGGGGACCUUUCCACGGUCUCCGUGUCGC
rnacentral:rRNA from 1 species